rnacentral:rRNA from 1 species
UACAGAGGUCCCAAGCGUUGUUCGGAUUCAUUGGGCGUAAAGGGUGCGUAGGCGGUGCGGUAAGUCGGGUGUGAAAUCUCGGGGCUUAACUCCGAAACUGCAUUUGAUACUGCGGUGCUUGAGGACUGGAGAGGAGACUGGAAUUUACGGUGUAGCAGUGAAAUGCGUAGAGAUCGUAAGGAAGACCAGUGGCGAAGGCGGGUCUCUGGACAGUUCCUGACACUGAGGCACGAAGGCCAGGGGAGCAAACGGG